rnacentral:lncRNA from 1 species
AAAUAGUUGAUUAGAAACUUGGAGAAGUGAGUUUUUAUGAAAGGGUGAAAGUAUGAAAAGAAACAAGAAAAGGAAAUCACCCUUGAAACCAUAGAGCAAAGAAAAAGAAAAAAAAUAAAAAAACAAAGAAAAGGCUCAUGGUUGUGUCGAUGUGAAAAGAAAAAGAAAAGAAAAAAUACGGGUAUCAAAGAAAUGGAAAUUGUGUAGAGUUGAAUGUUUGGGAAUGCUCC